rnacentral:rRNA from 1 species
AAAUUGAAGAGUUUGAUCAUGGCUCAGAUUGAACGCUGGCGGCAGGCCUAACACAUGCAAGUCGAACGGUAACAGGAAGCAGCUUGCUGCUUUGCUGACGAGUGGCGGACGGGUGAGUAAUGUCUGGGAAACUGCCUGAUGGAGGGGGAUAACUACUGGAAACGGUAGCUAAUACCGCAUAACGUCGCAAGACCAAAGAGGGGGACCUUCGGGCCUCUUGCCAUCGGAUGUGCCCAGAUGGGAUUAGCUAGUAGGUGGG